rnacentral:lncRNA from 1 species
CACAGAGGAAGGAGAAGUCUGCAACUUUGGGCAGAUUAACUCUCCUUUGUUGACAAACUGCUGCAAUGUUCAAGCAAAUAAGAUGUGGUUCAUCCCUUGGCAGUAAACCAGGAUUAUGCUGCUGAACCAAGACUUCCUCCAGAAUCCAAGUGCCUGAAAACAGGAUCAUUAAUUUCUGAAAAAGAUAAAAGUUUUGCCUUAUGGCAUUUGGAUUACAUACAAGAGUCCAAAGACAAAAAAGGUGGACAAAAGCAAAGAGAAAUCGUGGCCCCAUGCGUAGGCAUAAUUUCAGGAGAGGCAGUAUUUUGAAAAAAAAAAGUGACCACAGAAGGACAAUGAAUGAUGAAAUGACACAAAGGAGGAAUGGGGGAUUUACAUCUUCUUCACUAUGAAAUCAGAUGCUGCUUUUACAAUAACUGAAAAGCCUGAAGGAGUGGUGCUAAUGGAAAACUGGACAAGUCCUUAGAAAUACAGUGUUGAGCAGUCAUGAAGGCAACAUGGUAUGAACAGAUGCUUACCACAAUCAAUGCAAAAGAAAUACUUGUGUGAGAAAAGUACCUUGAGCUCAGAAUUAAGUUCUGAAAAAAAAAUAAAUAUGUAACACACCUGCA